GGCUGUAUGGUGUUGUGGUUCAAAACAUUGGACUAUGACUUUGGAGUCCAGGGUUUGAAUCCAUGUUCAGCCA
rnacentral:tRNA from 1 species